rnacentral:rRNA from 1 species
AUGAACGCUGACAGAAUGCUUAACACAUGCAAGUCGAUGGGGAAGUGGUGCUUGCACCAUGGUAACCAUGGCGGACGGGUGAGUAACGCGUAAGGAACUUGCCUGCGGGACUGGGAUAACAGCAGGAAACUGCUGAUAAUACCGGAUAAGGUCAUUAAGCUGCAUAGCUUAGUGAUGAAAGGAGACGCCUGCGGAGAGCCUUGCGUCCUAUUAGCUAGUUGGAGGGGUAACGGCCCACCAAGGCGAAGAUAGGUAGCCGGCCUGAGAGGGUGGACGGCCACAAGGGGACUGAGAUACGGCCCUUACUCCUACGGGAGGCAGCAGUGGGGAAUAUCGGACAAUGGGGGCAACCCUGAUCCAGCAAUUCUGUGUGCACGAAGACGGUUUUCGGAUUGUAAAGUGCUUUCAGCAGGGAAGAAGGAAGUGACGGUACCUGCAGAAGAAGCGACGGCUAAAUACGUG